AAUGGUUUUCCGUGCAGGAUUGCGUGAUCCAUGCACACGGAUCCAUGCACAUUUUUACGCUUUCCGAAAGUCGAGCAACAUCCCAAGUGCAUGGAUCAUGCUAUCCUGCACGGGAAAACCAU